UUUUUUUUUUUUUUUUUUCUUUUUAGGGCCACAUCUACAGCAUAUGGAAAUUCCCAGGCUAGGGGUCUGAUAGGAGCUACAGCUGCCAGCCUACAACACAGUUACAGCAGCACCAGAUCUGAGCCACUUCUGUGACCCAUACUACAGCUCAUGGCAACACUGGAUCCUUAACCCACUGAGCAAGGCCAGGGAUUGAACCUGCAUCUUCAUGGAUUCUAGUUGGGUUCAUUACUGCUGAGCCACGAUGGGAACUCCCUCUAUAACUCUUGAGGAAUAAGAAAGAGGAGAAGAAAUACAAGUACAUAAUUUUGAUUUCAUAAUGUUUAGGUUUACAUCUACACCAAGGAAAAAUAUUCUUGGAGGAAAAGAUAACUCCAUUACCAGUUUAAGCAUUCUCUAGAAAAUUCUAUAAGCAGAGAAAUGAUACUGAGGGAUGCAAAGAAAGAUAUUUAUAGUGACUAGAAAUAUCAGGCUACAGAUGUUUUCAAGGCAGCAGGACUAUUCACUUUUUGUUUCACCUUUUCUUUUCUCUUUCCUAUGUCAGUGUAAAGGGAAUUAUUUCAAAAGUUAAGCAGGUUGCUGGUGCAUAAAUUCUUCCUGUUGAUAGUUAACGUAAAACACAGAAAUGACACCUCAUUUUUCCUGCCUCUUGGAAAUGUAGAGAAUUCACAGAAUGCAGAGGUCUUGAGUAGGACGGAGCAUCAGCACGAGUUACUGUGGGUUUUCAAGCCCACUGUGCACCUUAGGCUGGACAUGCACCCCCACUCUCCUUCCUUCCUUAGAGCUCCAGGCAUGGGUGUAUGGCUCUCUCAUCCUUGCACUUUCAAAUGGUUUAUUUCUUAUUAUUUGUUUUUCUGAAUUAAGCAGUUCUUGAAGGCCGCAUGGACCCGCUCCAGCAGUUGUUGACAGAAUCGUCUCUACUGUCAGCCUUGUGUUCUGCCCUUCUGUUUUCCUGAAAAACGCUUUUACAAGAAGACACGCUUUCCAUGUCACAUUAGAAAGUCAAAUGGCUCUUUUAUAAAUUCUAUCCUUUGGUUGGAAAUCAUGCCCAGAUGCCAGCUCUCUUCUUGUGCCAAUAAGUAUCUCUUUUGCAUAAAAUGUGAAUCAUCUUGACUUCUUACCCCUCCCCCCAGCAUAGGGGCUAGCCAGGGCUGGUGUAGACAAGUGUGUUUUGUCAGGGCUGAUUUCCUGGGAACAAAACUAGGGUGGGAUUCAUACCCAAGUUCAAAUACAAUCAAGGUUCAACGAGUAAAUAAAUGCAGGCAUUACUCUCAAAGGUCAGAGGUAGGGCUGAAGUUAGGCUUCUAAAGCCAGAAGUAGGACUUGAGUGGAACCACAGUGAACCAAGGAAAAAUGUGUGGCCCGAAGGGGUACAGGUCUCAAAAAUUGGAGAAUGUAAAUGUUAGUGAAUGGGUGGGUCAGGCUAUCGAAAAAGGCCAAAAGCAGAGGUGAAGUUGGGCAGUGGUUAAGAUUAAGAAUGGACAGUUUUUAGUUUUUUUUUUUUUUUUUUUAAGAAACUUAUUGAACAGAAGACAAAAUGAACAGAAGACUGAAACAGAAGAUCUGAAACUAUAAAAACCCUAGGAGCAUACAAAAGGGGAAAACUUCAAGAAUGAAUCUUGGGAAUAAUUUCUUGGCCAUGACACCAGAAGCACAGAUGAUAAAAGCAAAAAUAGACAAGUGGGGGAGUUCCCAUCGUGGCUCAGAGGAAAUGGAUCUGACUAGUAUUGGUGAGGAUGCAGGUUCGAGUCCUAUCCCUGGCCUCGCUCAGUGGGUUAAGGAUUCAGUGUUGCCACGAGCUGUGGUGUAGGUCACAGACAUGGCUCAGAUCUGGUGUUGCUGUGGCUAUGGUUUAGGCCGGCAGCUACAGCUCUGAUUGGAUCCCUAGCCUGGGAACCCCCAUAUGCCAUGAAUGGGACCCUAAAAAAAAAAAAAAGACAAGUGGGAUCACAUCAAACUAAAAGUUUCUCUGUAGAGCAGGAAGGAAAAUAACAGAGUAAAAAAGGCAACCUACUGAAUGGGAUAAAAUGUUUGUAAACCAUAUACCUGAUAAGAAGUUAUGAUCCAAAAAAUACACAAAAUGUCUUCAGUUCAAAAGCAUUUUAAAAAAACCAUUUUUAUUUAUUUACUUUCCCUUUGGCCACACCCAUGGCAUAUGGAAGUUCCUGGGCCAGGGAUCAAAUCCAAGCCGCAGCUGUGACCUAUGCCCCAGCUGAGGCAAUGCUGGACCUUUAAUCCACUGAGCCACAGCAGGAACUCAAAAACCCCUCAUUUUAAAAAUGAGCACAAGACAUGAAUAGAGAUUUUUCCAAAGAAGACACGCAGAUGGACAAUAUGUUUGUGAAAAGAUGCUUCAAUCACUAAUAAUCAGGAAAAUGCAAAUGAAUUCCUGAAAUAUCACAGUCUGUACAAUGAGAUGUCACCUCAUACUUGUCAGGAUGGCUAUUGUCAUGAAAGAAGGAAAGAAAGAGCGAGAGAAAGAAAGAAAGAGAGAGAGGGAGGGAGGGAGGGAGGAAGAGGGAGGGAAGAAGAAAGGUAACAAACAUUGACAAAGAUGUGAUGAAAGGGAACCCUUGCACAUUGCAGUUGGUGGGAAGGUGAAAUGCUGUAGCCACUGUGGGAAACAGUGUGGAAGUCUCCAAAAAAUUAAAUAGAACCACCAUAUGAUCCAGUAAUCCCUUUUCUGAGGAUUCAUCUAAAGUAAUUGAAAUCAGGAUCUUGAAGAAAUAAUUGUAGUCCCAUAUUCAUUGCAUCAUUAUUUACAAUAGAUAACAUGUGGAAACAACAUAAACAUCCAUCCACAAGUGGAUAAGGAAAAUGCGGUAUAUAUACAGAGUGAAAUAUUCCUUAAAUAAGAAGGAAAUUUUGCUAUAUGCAACAAUUCGGAUGUGCUGUGAGGACACUGCGCUAAGAGAAAUAAGCCAGUCACAAAAGGACAAAUACUGCAUGAUUCCACUUAUAUGAGAUCUCUAAAAUAGUCAAAUAUACCGAAACAGAUAGUAGGAUGGACGUGGCCAGAGCUCAGGGUAGGCGAAAGGGGAGGUGCUGUUCAACAAGUAUAAAGUUUCUGUUAUACAAGAUAAUUAAGUUCUAGGGAUCUGCUGUACCUCGUACCUGUAGUUAACUAUACUGUACUGUACACUUAGAAAUUUGUCUCAGGAGUUCCUAUCAUGGCUCAGCCGAAAUGAAUCUGACUAGUAUCCAUGAGGACGCAGGUUCAAUCCCUGGCCUCACUCAUCAGUGGGUUAAGGAUCUGGCAUUGCCAUGAGUUGUGGUGUAGGUCGCAGACACGGCUUGGAUCCUACAGCCGAAAUGAAUCUGACUAGUAUCCAUGAGGAUGCANAAAAAAAAAAAAAAAAAAAAAAUUUGUCCGGAGGGUAGAUCUCACGUUAAGUAUUCUUAUCGCUGUAAAAAAAAUCUUACUGAUUUUCUUGUCAUACCAGCAUGAUCUUUAUAGUAAAUCUGGAAGGUAUUUUAAGCACAACAAGAAAAAUAAAAAUCAUCCACAAAUCUAUCAAUAAGUCCAAUCAUCAGAGAAAGAUGAAUGUCUGGAGUGCAGUGCUAUCCUGAUUACCAUCAUGGUUUAUUGAACACUUACUAUGUAUGGGAAGCUGAUUUCAUGGCUUUAUAUCUUAUUACUUUGUUUCAUUCUCAAAGUACUCCUGUGAGGUAGGAAUUAUUAUUAACCCCAUUUUGCACAUGAGGAAACUCAGGCACUGUAUUUAGGUAACAUUACAAUGCUACCCAGUGGCAACUGAUGGAGUCAGGAAUCAAAACUAGAUUGUUUAGUAGGAGUUCCUGGGUGGCCAGGCAGCUCAGGAUCCAGUGUUGUCACGGCUGUGGCUCUGGUUACUGCUAUGGUGCGGGUGUGAUACCUGGCCUGGGAACUAUCCCACGCUGUGGGCUCAGCCAAACAAACAAAAAACACUAGGUUGUUUGGCUCUAGAGCACGAAUGUCAGAUAAUUUAAUUCUAGAAUAAACAAUACAUUCACACAAAUUAAAUGAAUGUAGAAGGUAUGUAGUAAAAGUCUGUGC
rnacentral:lncRNA from 1 species